GCCUGGGUGGCUCAGUCGGUUAAGCAUCUGACUCCUGAUUUGGGCUCCGGUCACGAUUUCACGAUUCGUGGGAUCAAGCCCCACAUCAGGCU
rnacentral:tRNA from 1 species